AAAAAAUCAGUUUGUAGAAAAGUGAAGUUAUUCUCUAGGUUUCAGAAUCAUAAAAUUCAGACAAAAACUUAAGCAAUCUUAUUUACAUGGAGAAUUUAUUUAAAGCUCUAACGUAAAAAAUUUUUUAAAAAAUAAUCAUUGUGUUGAAGUGUUGAAGUCAAACAGUUAGGGUUUUUCUUUGUUUUUACAAAUAUGCUGAUAUAGAUAGGGAAUUAUAGAGACCCCAAAACCCCGAUUUAUAUCAGUGGUUUUCCGUGUAUGUCUUUUCAGUAUGGGAAAACAUUGAAAAAAAAUCAGUUCCUCAGCUGAAAGCAGUAAGGCAUCAUAUUCUGUAGUGCAUUGCUUAGGGUCACAGAUAGAUUGCUGAUGUAUGAUCAAUGUCUAUCAAAUAUCCAUGGCACUUUAUAAAAAAAAAACACCAAGACAUUUUUGUGUCAAACGUGCAUUCAGUGAAAAUAAAAACACCUCCAUGAAUUCCUAGUUUGCCAUUUCCUUUUUGCAGCACCGGCCUUACCCUAUGUCACACCGGAAGACUACUAGCAGAAUUCUUCUCAUCAGGCCGUGCAACCUUUGCUGUAAUUGGUGUCACAGCCAAUGAUCCAAUAUUCCGAUAAGAGUGAAACACAGAAAUCAGAUAAUGAGAGAGACUCAAUCCCAGGACCCCGGGAUCACAACCCGAGCCAAAGGCAGACAGACGCCCAGUGAUGGAGCCACCCAGGUGCCUGAUGGAAUUAGGCUUUUCUUGAUGGGUUCAGGACAUUCUACCCCAAAAUAUGGACACUUGACAUACUGAAGAUUUGAAGCUGAAGGAAUUUGAGUAAUGGCAUAAGCAGAAAGAAUUUUCUUUGCCCCAAAGCAGGUCAUAAAACCUAGGAAAGACUUUCUGACCUACAUGUGAAGCAGGUCAGAGGUGUCCUCCGUAUCCCAGAGGAAAGGAGCAUCCUUAUCUCCAAAGAUAAAGGGACACUUCGUGAAGUCUGAACACCUUGCUAAGUCUCCUCCAGUUUGCUACACUCAAACUCUUCGUCCUCUGGUGUCUUGCCACGACUUUUCACUGUCCCUCAUACUUAGUCUGAAAACACGCAGGCUUCACCAAUUCUUCACAUCUUCAUUUUGUGAAGAUGCCCAUGUUGCCUAAACUUUAUAUUAAAUAAAUUUGCCUUGUUGGUUUAAAGGGAGUCACUAGCCCAAAUUAAGGGGAGGAGAGUGUCAAAGAAUUCUGGAUAUGUUUUAUAAUCACCAAAACCCCUUCAUCCAGCUCUUCGCUUAGUUGUACUCUCCUGUUAAAUUCCUAAGGCCAGCCACAUCAAUGCAGUUGACUUCUGUGACCUCCAACCCAGUCCCAACUGCCAUCACCCGUCACCUGGGCUCCUACUCUUCUUUCUUCUAACCUUGUCCGGAGAAAAAUCCGUUCUCCGUGCAGCAAGGAGACAGUCUGCACCAACCCCUGAUUAAAUCCCCUCGUUACUUCCCAUCACUCUUAGAAUAAAACUAAAGCUCCCUACCUAUAAGGCUGAAAUGGUUUUCUUUCUUUCUUUCUUUCUUUUUUUUUUAAGAUUUUAUUUAUUUAUUUGACAGAGAGAGAGAUCACAAGUAGGCAGAGAGGCAGGCAGAGAAUGAGAGAGAAGCAGGCCCCCCGCUGAGCAGGGGCUCCAUCCCAGGACCCUGAGAUCCUGACCUGAGCCGAAGGCAGAGGCUUAACC
rnacentral:lncRNA from 1 species